rnacentral:lncRNA from 10 species
CAGAGAGAGUCACACCCAGGGCCCCAUACUGCCGGCCUUUUGACACCCUAUCACUGGCUUGAUUUGGCAACGCUGCUUCCCCCACACAGGCCUGAAGCAAAGAAGUGCCUGUCCAGCAAGUUUAAGCAACCUGCGGAAGACACUUUUGCCAUCUCCUGAGUGCCCGUCCCGAGUAAAUAAGAUGCUAGCUCAGCUUCUGGCCAGCAGGCUGCCCACCUACUCAUCUCCAUCCACAUCCCCAGGGAGGGACAUGAAUUGAUGUCUUCAUUCAGCAGAAUGUUGAUUAUGCACCCAUUCUGUGGCAGGCACGUUUUAAAUACAAAGGCAAAGAGGUUUGACCAAGUGUCUGCCCUCUUGGAGCUGGGAUUGGAAUGGGGCACGAACACAUAUCAGAAUGCCCAGGAGUGAUGGGUGCGGAGAAGAUGAACCCACAAAGCAAGAUCAGAGCCAGGGGUGGGUGGGGACAGGGAGGACCUCUUUUUAAAGGAGGGUGGUCAAGAACAAGCCGCAUCGUUGGAGCAGAAGGCUGGAGCUGGCUGUACGUGGGCAGUAGGGGGAGUCCGAGAGACCGGUAGGGACAGAUGGCACAGAGCCCGGGGUCUGGGCAGAGCUCCCAGCUGGACUCCGAGUGAGAGAGGAGCCACAGUAGUGGGGUGAUGUGGUCCAGCUUCGUUUUCAGGGCCCCCUCACACUGCCAGGUGGAGCCCAGGUGGCAGCUACUGUGCUAGUCCAGGCAAAAGACGGCAGGAUUCAGACCAGCAGCAGCGAGGGAGGACUCCGCUGAGAAGAGCUCAAUCCCAUUGGAUUUCUGUCCCGCCAGUGACUUCCCAGGGGCUGUUGCAUGGGGACCCUGUGGGUUCCGCCUGCCCAGCAUCCCUACCUCCUCCCCUGAUCUCCUAUUGGAGAAUGUCCCCUUCCUAGUCUCAGCCCCCUUGACUCCAGGUGCCCCAGCCCUGGCUGCAUGCGUCACCCAUCCCUCUGUCCCUCCACUCCCUGCCCCCACCAGACUAGCCAGGUGAGGGACCCAGGAGCCUGACCCUUCCAAUUGAAUUACUGAACAGGAGAGCUCUUCCCACCGGCAGAUCAAGCUGGGUAAGUGGAAGCCUGGGGCACGGGACCUCCCGACAGAGCAGGGCAGAGCCCACGAUGCCAAGUGAGACAGAUGGAGAGUGUCUUCAUCCUAUCCGAGGCUGGCCUCCUGUGGUUAACUCGUCAGCUCCAAGGCCAGGUGGGGUGGGCGCUAAUGCCAUUUGAAAUCAGGAGAGUCCUCACUGAAUCAGUUUAACGUUUUGUUUUGAUUUUUUGUUUUGAGACGGAGGAUGUUGCCCAGGCUGGAGUACAGUGGUGCGAUCUCGGCUCACUGCAACCUCCGCCUCCCGGGUUCAAGCGAUUCUCCCGCCUCAGCCUCCCGAGUAGCUGGGACUACAGGGGCGCACCACCACACCCAGCUAAUUUUUGUAUUUUUAGUAGAGACAGGGUUUCAUCAUGUUGGCCAGACUGGGUCUUGAACUCCUGACCUCAGGUGAUCCGCCCGCCUCGGCCUCCCAAAGUGCUGGGAUUACAGACGUGAGCCACCACGCCUGGCCCAGUUUAACAUUUUUUGAUAAAAGUAAAUUUCAUUUCAUUCCAAGAAAGGUGUUAGACAACUGCUCGCCUCACUGGCCCUCUGGAGCCUGCCCUGCCCUGCUUCCCCCAGAGGAAUACAAUCCCUGGGGACUUAUGACAACUGAACAGUGCAGAAGGAACCAGCAGAGGGAACCGCUGCCUUUCUUCAUCACUGCCGGCAGCAAAAGCUGACUGGAAGCCAUGUCCUAGUCCAGAUCCGGGCAUGCACACCGGCUGGUGUUGAGCAGGCAACUUGUGAAUUGCAAGUCGAUUGCAUUGGUGGCUUUCCUGGCAGAGCUUUCGGAUCUCAGUUCAGACAAACUCGUCAGCACACCCUGUCCUGACCUCCCCCUAAACUAGGGCUGGCCCUCUUCCGACCCCUUCUUGGCACCGUGCACUUUCCUUCCCUUUGUAGUGCUUAUUAUCAUAAUGCAAAGUCUAUGUCUCCCCCACUAGACCCGUGAGCCAUGUGAGGGCGGGGUGGCCACUGACGCCAUUUGAAAUCAGGGGAGUCCUCAUUGAAUCAUUGCUUUUACUCUGGGUAAAAAGCCAGGGCUGGAGGGGCUGGAGUCGGGGUUCUCUCUGGUACAGCAGUAUACUCCCAGGGCCUGGGACAGCACAGAUGUAUAGGAAACAUCUGGCAAAAGGAGAGCUGGAAUCCAUGUCUGCCUGAAUUACAGAGCUGGGCCCCGGGCCCCACCAGCACUUCCUGUGAGCAAGGCAUUUGGUCUCACUUCUGCUGACAAGCAAAACAGAAGAAAAGAUGGUCUCCAAAACCACCGCUAUGCUGACCUUUGAGAAUUUAGGGUGUCAAGACAGUGACCCCACUUUGUAGAAUGGUAGGAAGCUUUUCCAGGGUGUGGGAUGCAGACCCAGAGCAAGUGAGGAACCCUUAGACAGUCGUGCUCGAAACCCCAACUUUUCAGUGUGAAAUCACUGACCCAUAUUUGCUGACUGAAGUUUUCCAAGUCUUUCAGCUUCAUGGCAUUUUGGGGAAGCAGGAUGGAGAUCAUUACCUCCAUCUGAGCAAGAUGAUGGCGAGGCUUGGAAAGCUGGCUCACCCUGUGUAGUCACCUCAAGCUGGCUCUGGACACAGGCUGCCUUUUCCAAAGGAGGACUGGAGCAUACUUUGGUAUAAAUUGCUUGCACUGAAUAAUGAUGUUAGAACCUACAUCUCUGGGUUCAAAGGCACUUCAAGGGUCAUUGCAUUCUACGUCCUAGAAGUUGCAGUGCUGUAUGACCACGGGCAAGUCACUGCACCUCUCUGAGCUUGUUUCCGUAAUUGGUAAAAUGGAGUGAUUGAGAGUGAUAUGGACGAGCUGCUGGCACUGAGCUGCUGCCUCUUUCCUUUGCAAGAGUUACCAUGCCCUGAAUAAGAUGGGCACAAGCUAUUGGCUAAGAAUUUGCAAAGCUGAUUUGCAUGUGAUUUGCACAUGGGUGUUUAUCAGAACCCAGAGGUUCAAUUUCAGAAGGCUGAGAAGCCAGCCCUGUUAAAUCUCUCAACCAAGACUCACUGCGCCAGCUUGACCCAGAGACAGUGGCCCUCGCCUCUGCUCCCCCUCAGUGCUAAAGGGAGGCAAAAGGUGCUGAAGCUCCAGGGACUGCAGUGGGGUUACGGCCAGGUGAUCUCCACCAAUCCACUCACCCGGACUCCCUUACUCACCCCCCAGCCCAAUCAAGCUGGUUGACUUCACUGUAGCUAAAAUACUGCCUUCUGAGGGGCACGUUGGUGCAUCUGGCUCUCUUUUACCAGCGGCCACCAGUGUCUCCACUGAACCUUGGGUGAGAAGCGGUAGACCCAAGGAGGACAGAGACCAAAGGAAGGAAGACAGGAAAGAAGGAAGGGAAAAUGGCAGGCGGUUGAGGCCAAAUGGGCGUCGGGAGGCAGGCAAGGGGCUCAGGCUCCCUCCUCCACCCCCGCUCCAGAGGUCGCUGGGGAGAGCAUCG